rnacentral:tRNA from 1 species
GCGGGGAUAGCCAAGCGGUCAAAGGCGUUAGGCUCAAGACCUAAUCUCUCAGUGAGUUCGCAGGUUCGAAUCCUGCUCCCCGCA